UACGGAGGGGGCUAGCGUUGUUCGGAAUAUCUGGGCGUAAAGCGCGCGCAGGCGGCCUUUUAAGUCUGACGGUGAAAUGCCGGGGCUCAACCCCGUGCCCGCCGCGGAUACUGGGAGGCUGGAGACAUGUAGAGGCAAGCGGAAUUCCGGGUGUAGCGGUGGAAUGCGUAGAGAUCCGGAAGAACACCGGAGGCGAAGGCGGCUUGCUGGGCAUUGUCUGACGCUGAGGCGCGAAAGCGUGGGAGCGAACGGAUAGA
rnacentral:rRNA from 1 species